rnacentral:rRNA from 1 species
UACGAAGGGGGGCUAGCGUUGCUCGGAAUUACUGGGCGUAAAGGGCGCGUAGGCGGCACUGUUAGUCAGGCGUGAAAUUCCUGGGCUCAACCUGGGGACUGCGCUUGAUACGGCAGAGCUUGAGGAUGGAAGAGGGUCGCGGAAUUCCCAGUGUAGAGGUGAAAUUCGUAGAUAUUGGGAAGAACACCGGUGGCGAAGGCGGCGACCUGGUCCAUUACUGACGCUGAGGCGCGACAGCGUGGGGAGCGAACAGG